rnacentral:rRNA from 1 species
UACGUAGGGUGCAAGCGUUGUCCGGAAUCACUGGGCGUAAAGCGCGCGCAGGCGGCGAUCUACGUCCGGGGUGAAAGCCCAGAGCUCAACUCUGGGACUGCCUUGGAUACGGGAUCGCUUGAGGAUCGGAGAGGCAAGGGGAAUUCCACGUGUAGCGGUGAAAUGCGUAGAGAUGUGGAGGAACACCUGUGGCGAAGGCGCCUUGCUGGCCGAUUUCUGACGCUGAGGCGCGAAAGCGUGGGGAGCAAACAGG